GACGAACGCUGGCGGCGUGCUUAACACAUGCAAGUCGAACGGUAAGGCCCCAGCUUGCUGGGGUACACGAGUGGCGAACGGGUGAGUAACACGUGGGUGACCUGCCCUGCACUUCGGGAUAAGCCUGGGAAACUGGGUCUAAUACCGGAUAGGACCGCACCGUGAGGGUGUGGUGGAAAGUUUUUCGGUGUGGGAUGGGCCCGCGGCCUAUCAGCUUGUUGGUGGGGUAAUGGCCUACCAAGGCGGCGACGGGUAGCCGGCCUGAGAGGGUGGACGGCCACAUUGGGACUGAGACACGGCCCAGACUCCUACGGGAGGCAGCAGUGGGGAAUAUUGCACAAUGGGCGGAAGCCUGAUGCAGCGACGCCGCGUGGGGGAGGACGGCCUUCGGGUUGUAAACUCCUUUCACCAUCGACGAAGGUUUUCUGACGGUAGAUGGAGAAGAAGCACCGGCUAACUACGU
rnacentral:rRNA from 1 species